GGUCACCUUUUGUUAGUGGGCAUAUUAUUCUGCAUUGGUCUGAAGUCGUGUUGUCAUUUUAGUGGUGUUGCAAUCACCACAUACCACGUUUCGAACUCAAGGCACAUUCCUAUCUACUCCCCCUGUCCGAAAAUACUUGUCGGAGAAAUGGAUGUAUCUAGAUGUAUUUUAGUUCUGGAUACAUCCAUUUUUAUGCAUUUCUCCGACAAGUAUUUUCGGACGGAGGGAGUAUUCUGCCAUGACACUUGAAGAAGACCUGUCAUGACCUGAGACUCUCUCCAAGAUCUUCCUUAAAGAGUUAAGACCAAGAACAGGUUACCUUCGUUGACUCGCAGUCACUAGUUAAACAUCGGCAAGUACCGAUGGCGGCCUUCUUACCGAUUUACCAACAUCUCGAUCUACAAUUCGAAGGAGGAAGAUGAAUUGGGGAAUUUCUCACACCACACACGCCAGCACACAAGCCGUGCCCCGGCUUCCAGCCAUCCUUUUCCACCCCCUCACACACACACGCACUCUGGCUUAAGUAGUGGACGCGGUGACUUGAGCCCAUUCAGGCCCAGCAAGCCUAGCGGGCCGCUGAGGCUUGCGACGGGGCCUGGAUGAGGUGGCUGCUUGCUCUUCCUGCGCUUCUGGGUCCUCAGGGGGUGCUUGGUCGCUGACAAUCCCCCUUCCCUUAGACACGGCUUGCCCCCAAGCCGGUGCACGGGGAAACAUCUGCUUGAGCGUUUCCUUGCCCUCCCAUGUGGCUAGCUCAGUUGAAGAAUCACUCCACUUGAUCAAAACUUGAACCACAAUGUCAUUGCCACGGCGCACCAGUCUCUGUUGCAGUACCUGCUCCGGUACCUGCAGGUGAUCAUCAGGAGAGGGAAGUCGAGGUAGAACCUGAGUAUCUGGUGCCAGGACUCUCUUGAGCAGAGAAACGUGAAAUACAGGGUGAACACGGCUGGACGCAGGCAGAUCCAAUUCAUAUGCAACCUCUCCCACACGAGCCACAACCUGAAAUGGCCCAUAAAACUUGAAAGCUAGUUUGUGAUUUGCUCGCGGGGCCACUGAUGAUUGAAGGUAAGGCUGCAGCUUCAGAAAAACUGAAUCUCCAACAACAAAUGUACGUUCGGUCCUGUGCUUAUCUGCUUGCGCCUUCAUACGCUGUUGAGCUCGCAGCAAAUGUUGACGCACUGAAUCCAAAAUUACUUGGCGCUGGGAUAGCCAUAGUUGCAGGUCUGCUGACUGAAUAGCAUCAUCUGUAUUCAGACCGAAAUGACGAGGUGGGUGUCCAUAGAUAAUUUCAAAUGGAGUGGAACCCGUGGCUGAAUGCCAGUUCGUGUUGUACCAGAACUCACAAAGUGGUAUCCAUUGAGCCCAACGUGAGGGGUGAGCGCUGACAAAACAUCGUAAGAAACACUCGACUUGUUGAUUUACGCGUUCAGUCUGACCGUCCAACUGGGGGUGGCGAGCAGAACUGAGGUGAAGCAUUGUUCCUGUUUUAUGAAAGAGCUCCUUCCAAAACAGACUUGUGAAGAUGCGGUCACGAUCAGAGACAAUGGAUAGAGGCAUACCAUGUAACUUGUAUAUUGAAUUUAGGAACGCUUCAUCCACUGUAGCAGCAGUGAAAGGAUGAUGUAGAGGGACAAAAUGGCCAUACUUUGAAAGCUUGUCAAUGAUCACCAUUAAGCAAUUGUACCUGCCUGAAGUGGGCAAUCCCUCCACGAAAUCCAUUGUAACCAUUUCCCAGGGCACUUUAGGUAUAGGAAGAGGUUGUAGCAAUCCAGGAUAAGGGGUACGAUCCAGCUUAGCUUGCUGACAAGUAAGGCAGUGCUGCACAAACUGCUUGAUGAAUCCACUCAUGCCAGCCCAGCGAAACAGUUGCCGAACUCGACGGUAAGUCACUGGAAACCCUGAAUGACCCCCAACCGGACUAUCAUGGAA